GCCUACAAAUGCGCAUUAAGAAGAAUAUUUACAAGAAGAUUAUUGAUUUACCCUUGAUUUUUGCAAAUGCCUCGUCUUAAUUGUUACAUAUUUGGUUCUGGAACUUCUCGAAGAAAUGGACCACAAGACUGCAAAAGAUAUUUGCGUUUUAAUUAAUUCAUAUAAAUGCCAAUCGAAGUCUUUAUUAAAUGGUGACAUUUACAAAAUUUUUUCUGAAAAUAAUUUUAAAUUAAAAAAACUUAUCAUUGGACCUCAAAAUGCAUCUGAUUUUGAAGUAUUCUCCAACAAUAUAAGAUACUUGCAUAAAAAAGAUAAAAAUCUUUAAAAAAAACCCUACCCAGUCAUGGGCUGCUAUUUUUAAUUUUUUGCAGCAACCAUUUAAAUAUGAAAGAAAAAGAAGUAGUUCUAAUACAAAUAUUCACUUAAAUGUUGCAAGUGAUUUAAAUAUUACUUCAGACACAAUGCAGAGAGUAAAAUGUGGUUCAUGCAAAAUAAAAAAAGAUGCAAUACGUAGUUUACAAGAAAAAAACAGAAAAUUGCAGCAGAGAGUUCUUUUUUUGAAAAAAUCAAUGACCUGUAACAAGCUUACAAACAAAAAAUUUAAAAGGCAGUAUUUUUCACUAAAAUUGUGGAAAUUGAAAUAUUCAGAAGAAAAAAAAAAAAAACAGUUCAGCAGAAUAAGUUUCAUUCUCUAGAUUUCAUUAAUGAAUUGAGAAUUCUUAAAAUUAGUAGAACGAAGUUGCAACAAAAUGUUAAAAAGAUAGAAAAGAAACACAAAAUUGCAAUCAAAGAAUUACAGGAACAGAUAAAAAUCAAAGAGCAAGAAAAUAAACAACUUGUAGAACAAUAUCAUUAUUUAACUAGUAUUGUUUUAGAAAAAAAAAAAGAUAAUAGGUUACUUAUAGAAACCAAAAAAUUAAAAACAUAUGACCUACCCAUAAGAAAAUGUGUUUAUGCUGCUAUUAUUAACAAUGCGCCUGUGGAAAGUGUCUCAUUUUUGUUAAAAAAAAUUUCUGAACUAUUACACAACACAGAACUGCAAGAAACACCUCACUCAUCCACAGUAAAUCGAAUGGCAUAUGAGCCAGGUGUUUUAGCAUUGGUUCAGGCUGGUGAGGCACUUUUUCAAAGAAACUGAUGGGGUUGCAGUAACAGUCCUUAAAAAUAUUUCUAAGCUAAGGUAUAGUUUUAAAGGCAAUCCUGCAGCAUUCAAAAGCUAUCUUAAAAAAAACAAUGUUGCUCCAGGGCUAUUCAUUAGAUAUGUUGGUAAUAGAUUUCAUGUUUUGUUCCAUAUGGCAGGGAUUAUUGUUACAUGCGAAAGACUUAUAAAAACCUUUCUUGAAAACAACGCCAAAAAUAAAAUUUGCCAGCUCCUACUUCAAAAUAUGAGUAAUGAUAUAACGCUUGUGCAACUGCAAGGGUUGGGCCUGAUAGGAAAAAUAAUAACUGGGCCAUGGAUGAGUCUGGUUUAUAAAAAUGCAACAGGAAAGUAAUCUUGAGUUUGUAAGUUUUUAAGGUUUUUUAAUAAACAAAUAAAGUAGUUUAUAAAAUGUACAAAAAUUAUUUUUUUAUUAGGGUGACAUUUUCCAGAAAGCAAUAAGGAAAUUAGCUUACUUCAAAAGUAAUCCAGAAUCAAUUCUUUAUACAGAUGUGGAUAUUUUUAGUCAAGUAUUAAAUAUCAAAAAAGAUAAGGUACACCAAUCCCUUCGUGUAAUAAAAAAUAAAACUAUUUUGGUAAAGAUUUUAUCAGCUUUGAUAAGCUACACAGAGACAGUUCUCAAAAGACAGAUGGCCAGGUAUUUGACUGGCAAUCUCUCAAAUCUAUCUAAAGAAAUGAUAAAAGCCACACUAUCUGCUCCACCUCAUACAAUGGAGGCUGAAAGGAUCUUGGGCAUGCUUGAUUUUUUUUUUUGCGUCGUGCUCCUAAUGCUACUUUUGGUUUUUUGGAUUCUAAGAUAAAAGCCAGGGUAAACAAAACAUUAACAUGGCUUGAUGAGAAAACAUUGCCAGAACAAGAAGAUUUUAUUCAAUUUGCAAUUCGCAGAGGAGCUUUAAUGUGUCAAGCCUCUAAAAAUUUUAAUAAUCUUUUGUAUGGAGAAAUAGGAAAAAGAUGCGCCAAGCUAAUUUAAAAAAAGAACGUCUGGAAAAAAAGCAACUAGAGAAGGAUAUUAAAAAAGCAAUAGCUGAAAAUGCCAAAACCACAAAUCCUCUUUUUGUUAAUAUUGAGGAAAAACAAAAACAAAUUUUAGGAGUAAUUUUGAAAAAUGGAAACUUGAUAGGGCAGCUCUUAAGCCAUAAAUAACAGCUAGAUGAUGGUAAUAUACAUUUAUUUUUUGGUAGAAUUGUUGAUCAAAAGGUAGCAACAAAAAAAAAAUCUAUUACAUACACAAUAGUAUAUUGGAAAGUCAACGAAGAUGAAGCUGAAGAUAUUGACAUAAGCCAGGAAGGAGUUAUAGCAGAUCUAAUACUUAAAGACUUGGAGUUCAUUUAAAAAUUACUAUAAUAUAUUAGGCAUUA